ensembl:lncRNA novel transcript
UUAGCAGAAGUGCAGCUGGGGGCCAUUUUGUCAAGAAGUGCUUAUUUGGAAAAACAAAACAAAACAAAAAAUGAAAAAAAAAAAAAAAAUCUAUACAGGUGCAUGCCAGUCCCCCGGUAAUGAAAUGUAACAAAGGAAGCACUUAAGUUCAGUGAGGGAAAUACAGCUUUAAAUUACAGAUUGUACCCAGAGCACUUUAUAAACGGUAAUGUGUGAUAAUGUAUUAUCCUUACUUCUGUGAAAUUGUGGACUGCAACUUCUGCCGGGGCCAGUUAAAGGGCCAGGAGAUGGAGAGGGUUGCGUGAAUGCCAUUCAAGAAAAGGGCAACAGAGGCUAAGGGGUUAAACUCCCCAGAAAACCAAUUUAUGCAAAGGGCUGGAUCCUGACCGGCAUUCUGCACUAAAGAUCUGAAUUACAAAUUUAGAGAAUUUGCUGCUCGACAACGAAUGCAGGAAGGACCUCACUGGCUGCUGGGAACAACUGCCCUUUUGAAUGAAUUCUUUUAUGGUUACCAGUCAAAAAGUCACCGUCAGCUGGAACUGGAAGGGAGGGGCAUUUCUUAUCUGGGCAAAAAGCCCCUGUACCCAGCGAGGUGAAACUUGCAAAUGAUACUGUCACCUUCCUCAAUGGACUGCAGCUCAGGAGCUCACCAAAGGUUGCAGCAGACAACCCCCACGGUGUUUGGAGACAAAGGAAUAGCAGCUGCCUGGUUUCCUUGAAUCACCCCGUGCUCUGACGAUGGCAGUGAUGGGCCUCCCACCAAUGGCUUCCCCAAGUGCUGUUUUCCUGCUUCAUGCCAAGUUAAGCAUUCUGAUACUAAGCGGCACGAGAUAGUUCUCAACUGGGUGAGGCACAGGUGUGAGUAAUCUCGAGGUAUGGUCAGG